ACUACUUUAUUUGAUUAAACUAAUACCAUAUGAAUGUAUUCAGUUGAUAGGUGACAUUAUUCUGCUCUAUCGGCAGCAACCUCCCAAGCCUAACUAACUAAUUCGACUGACCCACUCAUGAUUCUAAUCUCAAAUCUGAUCGUGUUCCCUUAUUUAUCAAAUACUUCGUUUUGAGGCUGUACUGAGGGUGCCUUUUUAUACUAUAAAAAAAAUCCAAAUUAUCUUACGUUAUAUUUAUUUUCUCUCGUGGGAUCAGUAUCUCUGAGUUGAUCCUAAUCGGGAUAAAAUAGGGAAAAGAAAUAAAGCAAAAUAUUAAAAUACAAAUACAGAAUUGUCUUUUAUUUAUCAAAAUCAAUACUCUGCUCUGAAAUCUAUCGAAUCUAAAAAAACCUGUGGACACGACACAGAUGUCCAAAUGAAAUUUUUACCACUUAAAUUUAUUAUAGUUAAAAAAAAAACAAUUUAUCGGUUUGUUCCCGAUGACUGUGGUAAAACAAACUAAACAAAACAAAUUUAUGUAUUCGCAAGAUUACCUAUAUUUACUAUUUACUUUUUGAAAUAUUGGAAUUUUAAUUCAUAUGCUUUUUACUCAAAAAAUUUAGUUUCCGAACAUAAAAAUCUCUUUCACAUAAAUUGACUGACCUUUUGCUUCACUCACUCUGAUGUCUUCUCGUGACCCAAAACAGCUCUCCCUCGUUGACUAUGUUAAAGGCUACUCAUCAAAGCCCUCUCCUUUGUCCAGCUUCAAAACUAUCAGCAUACCAGCACCAAUUCUCCAACAAGCCGGGUCUCUUUUGACACGUACUCGAUUCAAACAAAACUCCAAAAAUUCUCUGCUCUCCUUCUCACAAUAAUACAGAAUCAAAGAGGUAUUUCGUCUCAAUUUGAUCUGUCUCUCGUUCCACUUUUGAACACUAUUCUCCACUAUCAAACAGCCACUGGUAUCUGCUAACUAUCUAUCCACUUAACACGUCGAACCGCUCCUCAUCGAUGCCAAAAUCAUAAUGACUUCUCUUUCAAACUCUCUCAAUCAUCCAAUCCAUUUUUCCCCUUCCACAUUGCCAAGAAUCAAAAACAUCGGCUUUUCCAUUCGACAAACAAACCAGUCACCCUCAAAAUUAUUCCGAUCAUCCUAAUUACUUUCUGAGAACUAUACAAUAUUUACUCGUGUUGAAACAAAGAUACUAAAAUUCCAAAUUUCUUUUAUACCUCUAUCCUAAACAAUCUUUUUCCAUUUUAAAUCUAAAUACAUCGUUAUUUUCACUUUAAUUAUUCACAAAAGUCUUUAAUGGUUCAUCGGAAAGCUCAUUAAAAGAGAAAUCUACUUACAUCCAAACUAAAUUCUAAUAAAUUUUAAAACAGCUCAAUAUACAGGGUGUAUCAAAUUUAUGUGCCCGCUUUAUUUAAAAAAAAAUUUAAUUUAAUUUUUAUUUUGCUUUUGAUUGAUAAAAUGCAAACACAAUAGUAUAUAUUCUCGUUAGUGUGUCAAAAUGAAUAAUCGACCUUGUUAAUCUAAGCAAAACGUGGACUUUAGCUAAGGUGUUCUACUUUGCAAUUAUUAUAACAAAUAUGCGUGAUGUAAGUGAUGUUUAUUGUUUUAUAAAUAAAUAUCUAACGAAUACUUUAGUUAAUUUAAGGAUUUUUAGAAAAUCUUAAUAAUGAGAUAAAUCCCAUUAUAUCAUCCCCCUUAGAAAAGAAAAUUUUCUGAGCCAUGUACCGUGCUUCCUUUUUCCUCCCCGAAGGGAAGAAAAUUUUCUUACUAUCAUCAUCAACUGACUACGUUAUAUGUAUAGAUUUAUACAAAUUCUUACAACAAAAAAAUAUAUAAACAAAAUUUACAAAUAUAUACAAUUUAUUUCACUAAUUAUCAAACAUCGUCUAUUCUUAGUUAAUCCUUUUCUUG